GAUGAACGCUGGCGGCGUGCCUAAUACAUGCAAGUCGAGCGAACGGACGAGAAGCUUGCUGCUCUGAUGUUAGCGGCGGACGGGUGAGUAACACGUGUAUAACCUACCUAUAAUACUGGGAUAACUUGGGGAAACCGUAGCUAAUACCGGAUAAUCUUUUGAACCGUAUGGUUCAAUAGUGAAAGACGGUGUUGCUGUCACGUAUAGAUGGAUCCGCGCUGCAUGAGUUAGUUGGUAAGUUAACGGCUUACGAGGGCAACGAUGCAUAGCCGAGCCGAGGGGGGGUACGGCCACACAGAAGCUGACCGGCGACCCAGAGACCUACGGACGGCAGAGACUGCGACGCUUGCGAGAUGGGCGAAAGACUGACGGAGGAACGCAGCGCGGGUGAUGAAGCUCUUCGGGUCGUAAAACUCUGUUAUUAGGGAAGACCAUAUGUGCAAGUGACGUGCACAUCUUGACGGUACCUGAUCAGAAAGCAACGGCUAACUACGUG
rnacentral:rRNA from 1 species